rnacentral:rRNA from 1 species
AUUGAACGCUGGCGGCAGGCCUAACACAUGCAAGUCGAACGAGUGGCGGACGGGUGAGUAAUGUCUGGGACACUGCCUGAUGGAGGGGGAUAACUACUGGACACGGUAGCUAAUACCGCAUACCAUCAGAUGUGCCCAGAUGGGUUUAGCUUGUUGGUGGGGUAACGGCUCACCAAGGCGACGAUCCCUAGCUGGUCUGAGAGGGUGACCAGCCAGACUGGAACUGAGACACGGGCCAUGCGCAUACGGGAGGCAGCAGUGGGGAAUAUUGCACAAUGGGCGCAAGCCUGAUGCAGCCAUGCCGCGUGUAUGAAGAAGGCCUUCGGGUUGUAAAGUACUUUCAGCGGGGAGGCGUUACCCGCAGAGGAAGCACCGGCUAACUCCGUGCCAGCAGCCGCGGUAAUAC